CCUACGGGUGGCUGCAGUGGGGAAUCUUGGUCAAUGGGCGAAAGCCUGAACCAGCGACGCCGCGUGAGUGAUGAAGGCCUUCGGGUUGUAAAGCUCUGUGGGGAGAGACGAAAACGGCCAGGAGGAAUAUGCCUGGUCCUUGACGGUACCUCCUUAGCAAGCACCGGCUAACUCUGUGCCAGCAGCCGCGGUAAGACAGAGGGUGCAAACGUUGCUCGGAAUUACUGGGCGUAAAGCGCGUGUAGGCGGGUCGGUAAGUGAGGUGUGAAAUCCCU
rnacentral:rRNA from 1 species